AGAGUUUGAUCAUGGCUCAGGAUUAACGCUAGCGGCAGGCCUAAUACAUGCAAGUCGAACGGCAGCACGGGUAGCAAUACCUGGUGGCGAGUGGCGCACGGGUGCGUAACGCGUAUGCAAUCUACCUAUAACUGGGGAAUAGCCUUCCGAAAGGAAGAUUAAAACCGCAUAAUAUCACGAAACGGCAUCGCUUUGUGAUCAAAUCUCCGGAGGUUAUAGAUGAGCAUGCGUGACAUUAGCUAGUUGGUGAGGUAACGGCUCACCAAGGCGACGAUGUCUAGGGGGUCUGAGAGGAUGAUCCCCCACACUGGUACUGAGACACGGACCAGACUCCUACGGGAGGCAGCAGUAAGGAGUAUUGGACAAUGGGCGCAAGCCUGAUCCAGCCAUCCGCGUGAAGGAUGAAGGUGCUCUGCAUUGUAAACUUCUUUUGUUUGGGAAUAAACCCCUCUACGUGUAGAGGGCUGAAUGUACCAAAAGAAUAAGGGACGGCUAACUUCGUGCCAGCAGCCGCGGUAAUACGAAGGUCCCAAGCGUUAUCCGGAUUUAUUGGGUUUAAAGGGUGCGUAGGCGGAUUAUUAAGUCAGUGGUGAAAGCCUGCAGCUUAACUGCAGAAUUGCCAUUGAUACUGAUGAUCUUGAGUAUGAUUGAGGUGGGCGGAAUGUGUCAUGUAGCGGUGAAAUGCUUAGAUAUGACACAGAACACCGAUUGCGAAGGCAGCUCACUAAGUCAUAACUGACGCUGAUGCACGAAAGCGUGGGGAGCAAACAGGAUUAGAUACCCUAGUAGUCC
rnacentral:rRNA from 1 species